GGGUGUAGGAGGCUGGGGACAGCAGCAGGACCCAGGUCUGGGGAACCUUCAGAAAAGCAUCUCUAGAAAAAAGAACAUGGAGUGCUGAAGUCAAGUUGUCACAGGAAGGGAGACAGAUGGCUGGGAAUUCCAACAGUGAGGAACAAAUGGACAACAUAUCAGAAUCUCGACAGGAAAGGGUUAAGACAUCAGGUGCUGG